rnacentral:rRNA from 1 species
UACGAAGGGGGCGAGCGUUGUUCGGAUUUACUGGGCGUAAAGGGCGCGCAGGCGGCUCAUUUUGUCAGGCGUGAAAGCCCCGGGCUUAACCUGGGAACUGCGUUUGAUACGGAUGGGCUAGAGUUCGGGAGAGGAGAGUGGAAUUCCCAGUGUAGAGGUGAAAUUCGUAGAUAUUGGGAAGAACACCGGUGGCGAAGGCGGCUCUCUGGACCGAGACUGACGCUGAGGCGCGAAGGUCAGGGGAGCAAACGGG